rnacentral:rRNA from 1 species
CCUACGGGGGGCAGCAGUGAGGAAUAUUGGUCAAUGGACGAGAGUCUGAACCAGCGAAGUAGCGUGAAUGAUGACUGCCCUAUGGGUUGUAAACUUCAUUUAUAAAGGAAUAAAACGAGGCACGUGUGCCUUUUUGCAUGUACUUUAUGAAUAAGGAUCGGCUAACUCCGUUCCAGCAGCCGCGGUAAUACUGAGGAUCCGAGCGUUAUCCGGAUUUAUUGGGUUUAAAGGGAGCGUAGAUGGGUUGUUAAGUCAGUUGUGAAAGUUUGCGGCUCAACCGUAAAAUUGCAAUUGAUACUGGCAGUCGUGAGUACAGUUGAGGUAGGCGGAAUUCGUGGUGUAGCGGUGAAAUGCUUAGAUAUCACGAAGAACCCCGAUUGCGAAGGCAGCUUACUAAACUGUGCCUGACAUUGAUGCUCGAAAGUGUGGGUAUCAAACAGAAUUAGAUACCCCAGUAGUC